GGCAGCAACUUACAGAACACUACUUCCUCCUCUUCCCGCCAACAAAACAUGUUUUGUUUCCCUUGUAUUAGGAUUUGAUCGAUCCAAGUUUCUCUCUAAAUGACUCGCUCUCGAUUCUUGUAUCUUCUGUCAGGAAUUCCUCUAUGUGCUGAAAAUUGUCUGAUCCGAUCACUUGCUAGUUCACAGGAGUGCAUAAAGAAGCAAUUUUUCACUUUUAAUUCAACCACCAACUAUGAAAACCCGUCUACCCCUUUGUCUAGUUUUCACAGAUCGAUCCAUGCUAAUUUGGAGCAAUCGCAAGUCCUAAUCAGGGAUGAUGACCAAAACCCAGAAAUUUUAAUCUACAAAACCAUUGAAGACACUGAAAAAAUCUGCAGGUUACUGUCCAAAAACCCUAUUUCUAGUAUUGAGAGUUUACUCGAUAAUGCUUCGAUUGAGGUAUCACCAGCUUUGGUACUUGAGGUAUUGAAGAGGUUAAGCAAUGCUGGUGUUCUUGCACUGUCGUUCUUCAGAUGGGCGGAGAAGCAAAAAGGGUUUAUGUACAGCACAGAGAGCUACAAUGCAUUGAUUGAAUCUCUGGGCAAGAUCAAGCAAUUUAAUAUGAUGUGGAAUUUGGUCAGUGACAUGAAGCGAAAAAGAUUGCUAACUAAAGAGACUUUCGCAUUGAUUUCAAGGAGAUACGCGAGGGCAAGGAGAGUCAAAGAAGCCAUAGAUACGUUUGAGAAAAUGGAGAAGUUUGGAUUGAAGAUUGAAUCAUCAGAUUUUAAUAGAUUGAUUGAUACUCUGAGCAAGUCAAGGCAGGUGCAGA
rnacentral:misc_RNA from 1 species